rnacentral:rRNA from 1 species
GACGAACGCUGGCGGCGUGCUUAACACAUGCAAGUCGAACGGAGAUUCAGCAAUGGAUCUUAGUGGCGAACGGGUGAGUAACGCGUAGGCAAUCUGCCUUCUAGAUGGGGACAGCAUCCCGAAAGGGGUGCUAAUACCGAAUGUUGUACCGUUUCCGCAUGGAGAUGAUACUAAAGGUGGCCUCUGAAUAUGCUACCGCUAGAAGAUGAGCCUGCGUCUGAUUAGCUAGUUGGAGGGGUAACGGCCCACCAAGGCUUCGAUCAGUAGCCGGUCUGAGAGGAUGAACGGCCACACUGGGACUGAGACACGGCCCAGACUCCUACGGGAGGCAGCAGUGGGGAAUCUUCCGCAAUGGACGAAAGUCUGACGGAGCAACGCCGCGUGAGUGAAGAAGGUUUUCGGAUCGUAAAGCUCUUUCGUUAGGGACGAACGUGCUCUUUGUGAAUAAUGAGGAGUAAUGACGGUACCUGAAUAAGAAGCCACGGCUAACUACGUGCCAGCCGCCGCGGUAA